rnacentral:rRNA from 1 species
CAGCAGCCACGGUAAUACGGAGGGAGCUAGCGUUGUUCGGAAUUACUGGGCGUAAAGCGCACGUAGGCGGCUUUGUAAGUUAGAGGUGAAAGCCUGGAGCUCAACUCCAGAAUUGCCUUUAAGACUGCAUCGCUUGAAUCCGAGAGAGGUGAGUGGAAUUCCGAGUGUAGAGGUGAAAUUCGUAGAUAUUCGGAAGAACACCAGUGGCGAAGGCGGCUCACUGGCUCGGUAUUGACGCUGAGGUGCGAAAGCGUGGGGAGCAAACAGGAUUAGAUACCCCGGUAGUCCCUGUCUCUUAUAC